rnacentral:rRNA from 1 species
UGAGUAACACGUAUCCAACCUGCCGUCUACUCUUGGACAGCCUUCUGAAAGGAAGAUUAAUACAAGAUGGCAUCAUGAGUUCACAUGUUCACAUGAUUAAAGGUAUUCCGGUAGACGAUGGGGAUGCGUUCCAUUAGAUAGUAGGCGGGGUAACGGCCCACCUAGUCUUCGAUGGAUAGGGGUUCUGAGAGGAGGGUCCCCCACAUUGGAACUGAGACACGGUCCAA